UACGGAGGGGGCUAGCGUUGUUCGGAAUUACUGGGCGUAAAGCGCACGUAGGCGGAUGUUUAAGUCGGGGGUGAAAUCCCGGGGCUCAACCCCGGAAUGGCCUUCGAUACUGGAUGUCUGGAGGUCGGGAGAGGCGAGUGGAAUUCCGAGUGUAGAGGUGAAAUUCGUAGAUAUUCGGAGGAACACCAGUGGCGAAGGAGGCUCGCGGGCCCGAUACUGACGAUGAGGUGCGAAAGCGUGGGGAGCAAACAGG
rnacentral:rRNA from 1 species